AGGGGUCACUCGUGCGCGACCGAAGACCCGGGGAAAACCAGCGAGGGCCUUUAAAAAGGUGGCCGGGUGACCUCCAAUCACAGUGGGAUCAGUGCAUCCGUCUGGAAACGCAGAACGAGCCGAGGUUCAUCAUGAUCAGAAACAUUCUCAUCGCCGCGCUUCUCAUCGCGGCCCUGUGCGGCUUGGCUGCUGCGCAGUUCGGCUACUACGGAGGCUACGGAGGCUACGGUCGCCGCUUCGGAGGCUACGGCUUCGGCCGCGGCUUCGGCUACGGUGGAUACGGCCGAGGGUUCUAUGGAGGCUACGGACGCGGUUUCUAUGGUCGUGGCUUCUACGGCUAAAUCAGGAGAUACUAUACGCUACCCACCCCGACCUGGUCCGAGCCUCCCUGGACACCGUGCAAGUAAUAAACAUUCAGUAAUUGCUCCUCUC